rnacentral:rRNA from 1 species
GCGUUAUCCGGAUUCACUGGGUUUAAAGGGUGCGUAGGUGGGUCUGUAAGUCAGUGGUGAAAUCUCCAGGCUUAACCUGGAAACUGCCAUUGAUACUAUAGGUCUUGAAUUUUCUGGAGGUAAGCGGAAUAUGUCAUGUAGCGGUGAAAUGCUUAGAUAUGACAUAGAACACCAGUUGCGAAGGCGGCUUGCUGCAGUAACAUUGACACUGAGGCACGAAAGCGUG